CUGGCGGCAGGCUUAAACAUGCAAGUCGAAGGGCAUCUUCGGAAGUAGUGGCAGACGGGUGAGAAAAAAGUGGGAACGUGCCCUUCGGUUCGGAAUAACUCAGGGAAACUUGAGCUAAUACCGGAUACGCCCUUAUGGGGAAAGGUUUACUGCCGAAGGAUCGGCCCGCGUCUGAUUAGCUUGUUGGUGGGGUAACGGCCUACCAAGGCGACGAUCAGUAGCUGGUCUGAGAGGAUGAUCAGCCACACUGGGACUGAGACACGGCCCAGACUCCUACGGGAGGCAGCAGUGGGGAAUAUUGGACAAUGGGCGCAAGCCUGAUCCAGCCAUGCCGCGUGAGUGAUGAAGGCCUUAGGGUUGUAAAGCUCUUUUGUCCGGGACGAUAAUGACGGUACCGGAAGAAUAAGCCCCGGCUAACUUCGUGCCAGCAGCCGCGGUAAUA
rnacentral:rRNA from 1 species